UCUAAAGAAAAUGAAUGCAAAAUUUUUUUUUUCUUUUCAUCCUUUUCUUCUUCACCAUCUUCAGAGGAAAGGUGAAUCUAUUGAGACAUCAGAUAUCUUGAGACAUCUUAAGAAACCCUGUUGACUAAAAUAGAGGGAUGAAUGGCUAAGGAAAGGAGGAAAAUGAUUGAAUUCAUUUUGUUACCUUUCGCAUUUUGUGUUUAACCUUAAGAUGAUUGGUGAGAGAUUGUCCCAUUUGGUAAGGAGAAGAGAAGAAGAAGAAGAAGAAGAGGAAGAAAAGGAAGACAUCAAAGCGAAAAAGAAAGGCAAUUAAUCAUUACGAAUUAAGCGUGUCCAUUUUCCUGGUUGGACAUUGGAUUAUGGACCAAUCUUGUGUCCUUUAUCAAUAUGAAGAAGAUUGCUCUUAUUGAUUGGUAUCAUGAAGUUUCAAAGGUUAAUGUGACUAUUGAUAUUGGGAUCAAUGUGAAAGGUCGACUGUCGAGUUUAAAAUUGUCCAAGUUUCACCAUAAGGAGCCAAAAAAAGAGGUUUCAGAUGAUUAUGAUAAUAUUGAUGUAAACGCAAACAAGUUGGUCUAACAUAUUGAGCGUUAAAUUAUCAUUCCUUUAAGGAACUAAGCAUUGCAAUUUUACCAUUUUAUUUAAUUUUUUGCCUUUUUUCUUCUUCUUCUUUCCAUUACCUUAAAUUGAUGAUUCGUUCAGCAUAAUCUAUCAUAAUUUUUUACCUUCACUAAAAUUGUUAUCAAAA